AUACUUACCUGGCCGGGGAGAUCCCAUGAUCACGAGGGUGGUUUUCCCGGGGGGAGGCUCAUCCAUUGCACUGCGGGGGGGGGGCUGGCCCCUGCGAGUUCCCCAAAUGCGGGACACUGGAUUGCACCAUUUGUGGGGGGGGGCUGCGUUCGCGCUCUCCCCUG